rnacentral:tRNA from 1 species
GCCAGGAUAGCAGAAUCAGGUAAUGCGCUGGAUUCGAGAUCCAGUGUCCUUCGGGACUUGUGGGUUCAAAUCCCUCUCCUGGCG